AUUGAACGCUGGCGGCAGGCCUAACACAUGCAAGUCGAACGAGUGGCGGACGGGUGAGUAAUGUCUGGGAAACUGCCUGAUGGAGGGGGAUAACUACUGGAAACGGUAGCUAAUACCGCAUACCAUCAGAUGUGCCAAGAUGGGAGUAGCUAGUUGGUGGGGUAAAGGCUCACCAAGGCGAAGAUCACUAGCUGGUCUGAGAGGAGGACAAGCCACACUGGAACUGAGACACUGUCCAGACUCCUACGGGAGGCAGCAGUGGGGAAGAUUGCACAAUGGGCGCAAGCCUGAUGCAGCCAUGCGGCGGGUAUGAAGAAGGCCUUCGGGUUGUAAAGUACUUUCAGCGGGGAGGCGUUACCCGCAGAAGAAGCACCGGCUAACUCCGUGCCAGCAGCCGCGGUAAUUC
rnacentral:rRNA from 1 species